rnacentral:lncRNA from 1 species
UUGAAUUCGGGACACAAAAGUCUUGGAUUGAUUGAGUCAAAUCUGAAAAACUCUUGUCUUUUUUCCAAAUGUCUGAGUAAUUUCUUAUCUUGUUGCAUAAUUGUGUCUGCCAAUACUGUCUAAAGAAUCUCCUCCGUCAGUACAUCCAUCUGGAUUGUCUUCUUCUGAAUUAUUGUCUUCAAAAUUAUCCAAAUCUUUUUCUUGUUCAAUUUUCUUUUUACCUUUAUUUUUCUUUUUAAUCUGUAUUUUCUUUUUCUUUGUAGUACUUUGUUUAACUUGCUGCUGUAUUUCUUCGAUCUUUUCAAACAUUUCUUUGAUUCUUCUGAUGUCUGAUUGAGAAAUCUGUUCUGGAUCUUGAGCUGAUUGAAAUGAUUCUGGAAGGUUAAUUGNNN